GGUUUUUUGCUCGAGAUCCCUCCCCAUCUGAGGCCUUCUGAAGGUUUGCUGGAAAUCUGUGUUUGAAUCAUAAAAUGCACUUUCCAAUGGACACAAUAUUCUGGUAACUGGAACAAUAACCAUUUACAAGAUGAAGUCCGAGUGUGUGUCUGGCUUAUGGACCCAGCUGGGAAAGGAUCUAAAUGGGGAGCACAUGGAGAGGUUGUCCUGGGUUGCUGGGAUGAGGAAACCGAUGUGAAAUCAAUGGAAGAGGAAGGGCUGGUGUCUGGAAAGUGCUUGGACCCAUGUUAAAAACAAUAUGUAUAAGGACAACAGAGGGAGUGCACAUAUGUAUGAAUAGCAAACCUAUCCAUCAUUUUAAGUCAGAAACAGAGCCCUGAAGAGCCAUGGAGCAGUGCUGCCACCAGGAAUCAGGGCAGGUCCCUCCCAGGUCUGAUCACACAUGACAUUGAGUGCUGGUCCAGCACCAGCCCUGAGAUCUUCUGUGUUGACAGUGAGAUGGAAAUAUCCUCCAGCAUAAAGGCAGCAAUGUGAGGGGGUUCAGCUCGAAGGAAAGCCCAGACUGCAGUGCUGGAGCCGUGCAUGUGGCUCCUGGAACAUCGGCUCAGCUCCUGCAGCAGGUCUGCUGCAAACACAGGGGGACAGCUAUUGUGUGUGUACAGGACCAGUCUCUAGCUGCUUAUUUUAUUUGUUGGGCAGAGGGAUAAUUGACAGGUGGCUGUCUGGAAGAGAUGAAGCCCUCCAGCAAAACUGCAGCUCCGGCAAGAUGCGAGCGACAGAGAAAUGGCUCCAGAGGUGAUAGACUUGUUACUUUUAACACCGCCGGAGAUAUAAGGGAGCAGGGUUGAAUCGCAGUUCAGAACAAUCAUACCUAACUGCUGAACUAAAUAAAAGUGAUGAUUUCAUACCGGUGUCUGUGACUGCCUCAGACUGAGCUGGGAUUAACGAGCGUGUUGUUGCCUUUGGAAGGGUAGUGCACGCCCGAGGACUUCAGGUUCCUUUUUUAAGGAGUGCAUCGCCCAGGAGGAGGGCAGGGAUAUGGAAUGGGUGCACCCCAAAGCAGCAGUGAUGUUUGCCCCCCAGCUAACGAACCUUGCUGGGAGAAGCAGGGAGCAGGAUGAUGUCACUGGGAUGGGCUGGUGCCCAGGUCCCCCCACCGGUUGCAGAUAUCCAUCUUUCCUCAUUUUCUUCUUCAUUUUUGUCCUUUUUCUGAGCUGCCCUGCCUGGGACUUUGAAGCCUACAGAUCUCCCCUAGGCCUGGCGUUUUUGCCCCUCAAUGAAUCUGUGCCUGUUUUGAUGAUACACAGUGUUAUCUGCUUCAGACUCUUACAAACAAAAACAGGAGCUUAAACAUUAACCCCUGCCACCACAGCACCCUGACCUGUUGCUCUCUGAGAACUGACUUCUCAUAGGGCAGAUUUCUGUCUGUUUCUUUAUCAACCUCAAACUUUUUUUUUUAACUGUUUACUAGAGUUUGCCCCCUGCGAUGUUUAUGAUGUAGCACUACAGAGUCUCUUGCCCUGCCUUGCUGCACGCUGCAGUGGUUUGGGGCUGUGCUGGGACUGGGAGAGCUGGAUCCCGUUGGCCGCAUCCCUCUGCGCUCCCACCUCCGUGCGGCUUUGCAGCAAAUCAAAGUGCAACAAAUGGCUUUGCAUCAUUUCUUUGAGGAGCCCUGGGCCUUGUAUGUUAUCUUGAGGGCAGGGUAUAUGCUCCAAUAAAAGAAGGCUUUAUUACCGACUGCAACGGAGCCAAGGAUUCAAACACGUAUCGCCUUGUGAGUUUGUCAUAAACUCCCUUUUAUGGCCCUUCCAGUUUAUGGCUAAUGGGGAUUUACAGUGGGAAGAAGGGGCCAUGCGCUCUAAUUAAUGCAGUUAUUAGGCUGGGAGGGCUCAGCACAGCCAGCCCUGCACUCUCCCUUCAGCGUGGCCCUGCAGAGCACACAGGCAACGUCUGUCCCCACAUGGGGACCCAUGGGAUGGAUGGGGAGCCAAGGGAGAUCACUUCUAUGGGCUCCCAGAGAAGCUGAGCACGGCAUAGGGCAGUGGAGGCUGUGCUGAAAAUAUGUUGAAAAUAUCACUUGGGUGCUUCUUCUGUCAAUUAAAAGUCAUUGUUCCUCAUCCAUCUUUGGGCUCUGGAUGAGUUCUUAGCCUGGCUCCAUCCCUGCCACCCCUGGGGACAUGGAAUGUGGUCCCGUUGAUAUCAGCCCAGUUUCCAUCACAUGUGACUCUGCUGGAAUGAAGCUGCGAAUGAGGCAGAUUUCAUGUGGUUGCAGCUUCUCACUGGGAAUGCUUCACGCCGCUUCGCUCUGCAAUUAAAAGCGAGGAGUUGGGGCGAGAACAGUCCUGCUAAUCAUUUGCAGUCCACUCCCUUGAGCUAAGUUGUCUUUGCAAAGCCAAAAUUAUAUCAUAUCAGUCUCCAGAAGCUACCACAGAAGUUAAAUAUUAAGUGGCUUAUGUUGCUGGAAACUUCCGCUGGCUUCAGCUUGAUCACAGGUCAAGGAUGCCGUCAUCAAGAGCGGCCUUGAUCUCGAGCAGCCGCCAUGGAAAUGGCCAAGCCCAGAGGGACUGGCAUACAGUGGGGCCAUAAAUCCAGCCCCGCGGGGCAGCCCAGUGCUCCUGACCUCACAGAAGAGUGGGAACGCUGCUGGAAAUGCCCACAAACCCAGGAGGGACUUUGGGGGCUGCGUCAGGUGGAGGAGCGCAUCCAGCUCACCGUGCUGGAGAGCAGCGCACUGAUUUUCCAAAUCUCGCCCAGCCAUGAGGGCAGAGCCAGCUGCUGAGGUCCCAGGUGCCAGUUUUUGCCCUCAUUUCACUCCAGGAAUUUCCUGCAAAGGGAAGAAGACACAGGAUGAGGGCUGCAAGGAUUUUGGGGGGAAGUUGCCAGGGAUUGGGCACCCAGCUGCCUUCGAGGCGCGGCGAGGUCUGCAGUGGAGAAGUGAAAAGAUUCAGCUCCUUCUCACCACUAUUAUUAAUAUUCAAAUUAAUUAACUGUG